AUCAGCCUUUCGGGUGCGAUUCUGUGGGGUUUGAGGAGCUUAACACCUUCAUGCUUUGCAUACUCGUGCUCUUGGGUGUACCUGCCCGUGUGGUUGGUUAACAUCAAUUUUGGUGGUCAUAAAAUGACUGGAGGAAUGUAGCUUCGAUCUUGUAUUGAAGUGUUAUAGCCUUCGGUAGAUGUGAUGAUCGAGAUUGAGGAUUGCAACGGAUACCCUUCGGGGCUACCUGUCUGAUCUCUGAUCGUUGCUCUGGUGCCGAAAGCUUGCUUACGGUUAUCAAAGUCGAUGGUCAAUAGGUUAGAACGGGUUAAAUUCGUUAAGGAUGUUGACGUAAUGGCUUU
rnacentral:rRNA from 1 species